UUCUUUGGCUUAUUUAAUGUUGUGCUGCACAGAAGAAUGAAAAGUCUUGCGGGUUUGGAAUGACAUGACCUACAUGUAUACAAACUUGUAUCCUCAGGAAGAUGGAUGAAUGUGUUCCCAGGGCAGAUGGCCAUGAUGCUUUGCUAUGCAUAUGGCUCACAGAUUACAACUCCGGCAGGGUGUCAGAACUGAUGAGGCAGCACUGGAGCAGAGUGUUGUGCCAUUUGCAUUUGAGGUUUACAGCUUAGCUGCAUGGAUGGUCACACUGCUUCUCAUGCUUAAUGUCAGAGUGUGAAUCCUGAACACAAACAUGUGUCGUAGUGUAACCCCCAAGACUGCUUUUAACAGAGUUUUCCUAUAGAAACAAGCAUUUUGAUGCCUUCUACUAAUUUGAUUGUUUAUGCCUUUUAAAUGGUACAUUUUUAAGUGAAAUUACAAAUGUUAGCUUUUGUUUAAUAAAUACAGUCCAGUGCAUACUGAUUUAAAAU